rnacentral:rRNA from 1 species
CCAAUAGCGUAUAUUAAAGUUGUUGCAGUUAAAAAGCUCGUAGUUGAAUUUCGGGAUUGGCGCAUCGGUCGUGCCUCACGGGGUAUGAACUGGUGCAGUCAAUUUCUCACCUUCUGGAGAACCGCGAUGUCCUUAAUUGGAUGCCGCGGGGAACCAGGACCUUUACUUUGAAAAAAUUAGAGUGUUUAAAGCAGGCAUUUUUGCUUGAAUACAUUAGCAUGGAAUAAUAAAAUAGGACGGCAUGGUUCUAUUUUGUUGGUUUCUAGGACCACCGUAAUGAUGAAUAGGGAUAGGUGGGGGCAUUAGUAUUCAAUUGUCAGAGGUGAAAUUCUUGGAUUUAUUGAAGACUAACUACUGCGAAAGCAUUUGCCAAGGAUGUUUUCAUUAAUCAAGAACGAAAGUUAGGGGAUCGAAGACGAUCAGAUACCGUCGUAGUCUUAACCAUAAACUAUGCCGACUAGGAAUCAGACGAUGUUAAUUUUUUAAUGACUCGUUUGGCACCUUACG